CACGGCUGUCGGUACAAAAUGCUUCCUGGGUGAAACCCACCGCCCAUAUCCCUUCAAGGCUCUCGCAAACGAAACCCAUGGGUAUCAGAGGAAAGCAGAGGCGGUCCGCCGCCAGCCCUAGCGGCGGCGCUGAGCCCGCGGCCCCUCGGGACUGGGCUGUGCUCAACGAUGCCCUCAUCCUCCUCAUCCUCGAUCGUCUGCAUUCCCUCCGCGACGUCUUCGUCUUCGCCGCCGUCUGCCGCACCUGGCGCGCCGUCUUCCUGCCCACCUUCUCCGCCCUCCUCCCCUCCCGCCCCCCUCUCCUCCUCCGCCCCGUUGGCACCCCCUUCCCUUCCGGCGUUCCCCGGCGCCGCCGUCUUCGUCCCGACCGAUGCGAUCUUCUCACCCCCACCGACCCCUCCGCCUCCUAUCUCUCUAUCGUCUCCCGGAGAGCUCUGUCUCACCCCUUCCUCGGUUACUCCUACGGCUUCCUCAUCUUUGGCGGCAAUCGCCCUUUCCUUGCCAACCCUUUUACCGGCGAUGAGUUCUUCCCUCCCUUGCUCCCCAGCGAGCAACGCGCCUCCUUCCGCUGCGCCGCCCUGACGGCUCCCCUGUCCUCUCCCGACUCCAAUCUCCUCCUGUGUAGCUCCCACUUCAUCCUUCGCUGGCGGGCUGGGGAUGCCCGCUGGUCUAAACACUAUCUGGAAUUGCAAUAUACACCCAUCCACCAGAUAAUCACCUUCAAUGGGCAGGUACUCGCUUUUCUUAUAGAUGAGAGGCUGUUUGUCAUCGAGUUCUCUCCACGGUUCAGUAUGAGGCAAUUGGCGGUGCGAUGGGCAGAUGAAAGCGUCAAAUUUUGGCUAUCCGUACCUCCACUGCUGGUUGAAUGUGAUGGCCAGCUCCUCAUGGUUCGGUUUUCCGCUCUGGAAGAGCAGAUGUUCUUGUCGACUAUCCAAAUUUAUCGGCUGGACUGGCCGAGAAUGGUGUGGACACGAGUGCAUACUUUGGGUGAUUGGGCUCUGUUUGUGGACAUUAGGGGGAAAAGCACGGCGUCGUGCUCCAACCCGAGUAGGUGGGGAGGGAAUGCCGACUGCAUCUACUGCACAGGGCCUAACUGUGACAAUUGGGUUGUGCUGCCCCUGGACGGUGGAGUGGUCUCUACAACUGACCGGCAGUCCCCUUUCUUUGAUAACCAAUUUUCUUCUGUGGAUAUGCCUUCACCUGUUUGGAUAUACCCGAGUACGCUUUUCUGACUCUGAUCUUGGUGAUGACUCCAUCUUCUUGGUGACAUGAGUGAAUUGGCUUCUUCUACAUCUAUGACUUAAUAAAUUGAAUCAGCAUAAAUGCAGUUGUUAUCCUCUCCUCUUUAUGCAUACUCGUUCUACAAAUUCUUGUCGCAGUUAUAAAUGGAGAAUAAGCUUUAUAAAGUGGGUGGUUUCCUUCCUAACUUUAUACUACACAUACACAUGGCAUCCCAUAAUUCCACAGAAUUUUUUUGGUUGUGUAGAUGCGAUGAAAUCUAUUAGGAAGGGCACCAAGGAUUUUGAAUUCUGGAGAUUUGGAGUAUAGCAUGGACUGGACUGGGCAGCAUGCUGGAGAGAGUAGGGACUAGUUGCAGGUUCUGCUUAAGUAGAUUUGAAUCAAAUUUAUGUAGUGGUUUGGAACUAUGUUAUGAGAAAUCUCUGCAUUUUGUUCAUAUGGUUUUCAAAUUGUCAAAGUUUGGUAAUUUAAAUUUUAUGGUAGAAUGUAGAAAUGCUCUAAAUGCUCCUACCUAUUCAUUAUUAUUCGGAGACAUAUAUUUUGAAAUUAGAAA